AGGAGGGUAUGACCAGCUACCCCAUGCUCACAGCUUACCUGCUCCUCUGCCUACACGGUCAGCUCCACUGUGCUGCCCAGAUGAAGUGCAGGGCCCACUUCUGGAGAGUUUCAGCUGGUAAAGGGGAGGGCCAGCUCCCUCGGCAGCUGGAGGUGGUAGGGGCAAGGGAGAAGGGAGUCUUUCCCUCGCCCCCACUACCACAGCGAAGACUAGGGAGGUGGUACCAGCUAGGCCCCUCUCACUUACUCAGGGUGGUUCACCCUUGCCGCUGUCUACGGGGUCAACUCUACUGUGCUGUCCAGAGAAUCCAACUAAAGGGUCUGAACCUCAACAAGAAGCCCCGAGAUUAAGUUCAGGCACUGAUAUGUGACAAGUGGGAAUUCUGAACAACUGUUUAAAGGAAAUCUCUGCUGCCUGGUGUUGAGAUGGAAUGGCUGGAGCUUCAGCAGCCACUGAAACACAAAGGACCUUGGGAAUAAAAGCCGUAUACUGAGGGAGGCAGAGCAAACAACAGAAUAUUAAAAUAUAUGCCGCCA